GGAGAGGUCGCUAUUGGCAGGGCAAGCUGUUUGCUAGACAGUUGUAGAUGUAAGUCUACUGGGGGUUCGACUCCCUCUCUCUCCG
rnacentral:tRNA from 6 species